rnacentral:lncRNA from 1 species
UGCCAUUACAAGCAUGGAGAAUGGACGCUGCUCUACAAGGCAGAAAUGAACUGCAACUACAUAAAAGCAGGUCAAGUGCUAAAUGGAAAAUACAUCAGAGGCAGUGAUACAUCAUAAUUCAUUGUCCUCCUGCCAAGUUCUAAUACAUAUGCAGUUGUGUAUAGGUGCUUUUUCCAAAUGAGUACAAUAUAACCAGGAAAUAUCAUACCAUAUAUAUAAUUCAUGCAAAGCAACCCAACAGUUCAAAGGUUGGUUCCA